rnacentral:tRNA from 1 species
AUGGCUUAGUGGAAAGAGCAUGGGCUUGAGAGUCAGAGGACGUGGGUUCAAAUCCCACU